rnacentral:misc_RNA from 1 species
UACGUAGGAUCCAAGCGUUAUCCGGAUUUACUGGGCGUAAAGCGUGCGUAGGCGGGAGUUCAAGUGCAAUGCGAAAUCUUGUGGCUCAACCAUAUAGACUGUGUUGCAUACUGGACACCUAGAGGACGGCAGAGGCAAGUGGAAUUACCGGUGUAGCAGUGAUAUGCGUAGAUAUCGGUAGGAACACCAAUGGCGAAGGCAGCUUGCUGGGCCGUUUCUGACGCUGAGGCACGAAAGCGUGGGGAGCGAACAGG